GUGCUUCAGCAGCACAUAUAUUAAAACUGAAACGAAAGAAGAAAGAUCAACAUGGCCCCUGCGGAAGAAUGACAGACAAAUUCAGGAAACGCUGUGUAUCUUU
ensembl:snRNA U6 U6 spliceosomal RNA